AGAAUCAACGCUGGCGGCGUGCCUAACACAUGCAAGUCGAACGAGAAAGUGGAGCAAUCCAUGAGUACAGUGGCGUACGGGUGAGUAACACGUGACUAACCUACCCUCGAGUGGGGAAUAACCUCGGGAAACCGGGGCUAAUACCGCAUAACAUCUUCGGAUCAAAUGCGUAAGCAGCUUGAGGAGGGGGUCGCGGCCGAUUAGCUAGUUGGCGGGGUAAUGGCCCACCAAGGCAAUGAUCGGGUA
rnacentral:rRNA from 1 species